GGCAAACUGGGGCGGUAGUGAAAAGUGAAGCUAAGAGUAGUGGGACUAAGAAUUUGGUGUUCUUUGGGAACGCGGUGAGGGCAUUUGAUUUGGAGGACUUGUUGAAAGCUUCCGCAGAGGUUUUGGGGAAGGGAACGUUUGGUACUGCCUAUAAGGCCACUUUGGAUGUGGGGAUGGUGGUGGCUGUGAAGAGGCUGAAGGAAGUAACGGUACCGGAGAAGGAAUUUAGAGAGAAGAUUGAAGUGGUUGGAAAUAUGAAUCAUGAGAAUUUGGUUCCAUUGAGGGCUUAUUAUUAUAGCCGGGAUGAAAAGCUUCUUGUUCAUGAUUACAUGCCCAUGGGAAGCUUAUCUGCACUUUUGCAUGGUGAGCAUUGCCUUCUUUUUUCAUAAUGUUUAAUUCCCUUUUGGUUCCUUAUAAUUUCUGUUCUUUUUCUUUCCUAACCGUCUUGAUUGUUGGAUUUUUCAUAUGUCUGGUAUAUGAUUCUGUUAUCUUUCAAGACUAAUUACUUGAUUUUGGGUAUUCUGACAUGCUUAUUUCAUGUAAUAAAACUGUUGAUACUUUCGUAUAAUUCUGUCAUGUAAUUCCUAUCUGGAAAUCGCAUUUUGCAGAAUGAAAUUUACCACAUGUAAUUUAAAAUCCUAAACUAUGCUUUUAUUUGAUAGAAGUCAUGUUUCAUUGGAUAGUUGACAAUUGAAGUCCUCUUAAACUGCCUUGAGAGAAUAGUUAUAAAUGGACAACUGCAGUUCAUAGUUGCAUUCUGGUCUCUUGAAAGCAUUCAAUCAUGGUUUUAUGUGUAGAUGUUAGCAUCUGUCUCUUGAAACUAUUUGAGAAUUUUGAGAAUUGAGAUACAUGAGCAGCAGAUUAAGGUAAAUAUGCAAUGUUGGCUGUGCUUUUGCUUGUUAUAACAUUUGGUUUCAACUGCAGGAAAUAAAGGUUCUGGCAGGACUCCAUUGAAUUGGGAGACAAGGUCUGGCAUUGCUCUUGGAGCUGCCAGAGGGAUUGCAUACAUCCACUCUCAGGGCCCUGCAAACUCUCAUGGAAACAUUAAGUCAUCAAAUAUCCUCCUCACCACUUCGUUUGAAGCCCGUGUCUCUGACUUCGGCCUUGCACACCUAGCAGGUCCUACCCCCACUCCCAACCGCAUCGAUGGCUAUCGUGCACCAGAAGUGACGGAUGCUCGUAAAGUAUCCCAAAAAGCUGAUGUCUACAGCUUUGGUAUAUUGCUGUUGGAAUUGCUCACAGGAAAGGCUCCAACACAUACGCAAUUGAAUGAUGAGGGUGUAGACCUUCCAAGAUGGGUCCAAUCUGUU
rnacentral:lncRNA from 1 species